GUGGGGAAUAUUGGACAAUGGGCGAAAGCCUGAUCCAGCCAUGCCGCGUGUGUGAAGAAGGUCUUCGGAUUGUAAAGCACUUUAAGUUGGGAGGAAGGGCAGUAAGUUAAUACCUUGCUGUUUUGACGUUACCGACAGAAUAAGCACCGGCUAACUUCGUGCCAGCAGCCGCGGUAAUACGAAGGGUGCAAGCGUUAAUCGGAAUUACUGGGCGUAAAGCGCGCGUAGGUGGUUUUGUAAGUUGGUGGUGAAAUCCCCGGGCUCAACCUGGGAACUGCCUCCAAAACUGCAUGACUAGAGUACGGUAGAGGGUAGUGGAAUUUCCUGUGUAGCGGUGAAAUGCGUAGAUAUAGGAAGGAACACCAGUGGCGAAGGCGACUACCUGGACUGAUACUGACACUGAGGUGCGAAAGCGUGGGGAGCAAACAGGAUUAGAUACCCCGGUAGUCC
rnacentral:rRNA from 1 species